rnacentral:rRNA from 1 species
UACAGAGGUCCCGAGCGUUGUUCGGAUUCACUGGGCGUAAAGGGUGCGUAGGUGGUGGGGUAAGUCGGAUAUGAAAUCUCGGAGCUCAACUCCGAAAUGGCAUUGGAAACUACCCUGCUGGAGGUUUGGAGGGGGGACUGGAAUACUUGGUGUAGCAGUGAAAUGCGUAGAUAUCAAGUGGAACACCAGUGGCGAAGGCGAGUCCCUGGACAAAACCUGACACUGAGGCACGAAAGCUAGGGGAGCAAACAGG